UACAGAGGGGGCAAGCGUUGUUCGGAAUUACUGGGCGUAAAGGGCGCGUAGGCGGCCUGUUAAGUCGAACGUGAAAUCCCCGGGCUCAACCCGGGAACUGCGUCCGAUACUGGCAGGCUUGAAUCCGGGAGAGGGAUGUGGAAUUCCAGGUGUAGCGGUGAAAUGCGUAGAUAUCUGGAGGAACACCGGUGGCGAAGGCGGCCUACUGGGCUGCACCUGACGCUGAGCCGCGAAAGCCAGGGGAGCGAACGGG
rnacentral:rRNA from 1 species